rnacentral:lncRNA from 1 species
AGAAGUAGUAGUAAAUAGACAGCAACCAGAGCGUGAGCUGGUUUAGGAAGGCAUUUCACGGGGUUGGAAAAGGGAACGUUGUUUCAAAAGCAACAAGAAGGUGGAGAUAAGAUGCUGACGUUCAUUGACCUGCAAGUAAUGUGAAUGUGGAGGAGAUUAUGAGUAGAACGUGAUCUUUGAGCUGUUUUGGAUUUCUCAUGAGAGCAUGAAGCUGAGAAUGAGAGGGUCCAGAGAGAGAGUCUCCUCAUGUCCUCCGCGAUCCAGGAACCAGCAGGACAGCUCUGUGCCAGAAUGCAACUCCUCAGUUGGAAUCUUUGAGCUACCUUGUGCCAGCUGCAUGGCAUUGGAUCAAGUAUUGAAACUCUGCUCCUCAGUUCCCUCACCUGUCAAAUGUGAAUGAGAAUGACAGUGAGCUCAUCAGUGACUGUGAGGAGUGAAAGAGGUGAACCAGGUGAGACAUCCAGAGUGGCACCUAGCACGUCACAGCCAUCAGCACACACACAACCCAAUACAGCUGACAGAUCCAAGCAGCCAGGAAGGCACAGGGGCCCUAGGAAGGUACAGCCAUAAAAAGGAGUGAGGCACUGCUGCACAUGCCAGGAGGGAGUCUUGAUGAAUGUUGGUAAAUGAAAGAAGCCAGGCACAAAAGACCACAUUUCAUAUGAUUCCCUUUAUAAGAAACAUCCAGGUCAGGUGCAGUGGCUCACACCUGUAAUCCCAGAACUUUGGGAGGCUGAAGCGGGUGGAUAACUUGAGGCCAGAAGUUCAACAUGGUGAACUCUGCCUCUAUCAAAAAUACAAAAAUUAGCUGGGUG